GCGUAUUCCCUGAAGCACUGACGGCACAAAUUGAGACCGUAUUUCCGGAUCAAACCGUGUCUGUUGGAGCAUGCACGGCUAAAAUAGAUAGAAAUUCGUUAUAUCAUAACCUCAAUCUAAAACAUUUUGCUAAUAAUUGAAAUAUGGGGAGUCACAAACAAGGGAGGACCAUGAGGUUAGGUUAGAAGGCAUGCUUAGAUGCUUAGUAUUUAUUACGGGGGGGUUUUCUACAUACCAGGAACGGGAGCCCUGUCCAUAUUUACGGGGGUGAGAGUACCAGAUGUUUUGAAAACCCAUUUUUCCUUUUUCUUGGAUGUUUUCCCAAAAGGAAUUCCGUCCACGAGCGAACCUUGAAAGCAAAA